rnacentral:rRNA from 1 species
UACGUAGGGUGCGAGCGUUAAUCGGAAUUACUGGGCGUAAAGCGUGCGUAGACGGUUAUGUAAGUCGGGUGUGAAAGCCCCGGGCUCAACCUGGGAAUGCCAUUCGAGACUGCAUAGCUAGGGUGCGGAAGAGGGAAGCGGAAUUUCCGGUGUAGCGGUGAAAUGCGUAGAUAUCGGAAGGAACAUCAGUGGCGAAAGCGGCUUCCUGGUCCAACACCGACGUUCAGGCACGAAAGCGUGGGGAGCAAACAGG